rnacentral:lncRNA from 1 species
CAGUAUUAAAACCCUGGUUUCCUGAUGGUUAUGGUCCUGUAAUCAAUCUUCCUUUUACUCACCAUGAGCAAUUCUUAUGCCCAUUUGAGUCACCUGUACUUAAAGAAAGGAUUUUUCAUUUUUCAGCAGAAUCUAUUGCUAAACUGAAAGAAAAAGCAAAUGCAGAGUACAAUACUAACAAGAUUUCUUCCUUUCAGUCGUUGUCUGCAUUUAUGUGGAGGUGCAUAACCCGAUCCCGCCAUUUACCACAUGAUCAAAUCACUAAUUGCAGAUUAGCCUGCAAUAACAGAUCAAGAUUCAAUCCACCUUUAUCGCCUAACUACUUCGGGAACUGUAUUGAUGCAAUCGCAGCUUCUAGCACAGCGGGGGAACUGCUACAGCAGAAUCUUGGAUGGGCAGCAUGGAUGCUGCAUCAGUCUGUGGUUAAUCAGACAAGUGAAAAGAUUCAGGAGCGAAUUGAAGCGUGGAAGAAAUCACCUUUUAUUUAUCACAUUGGUCGUUCUUUUGAUCCCUUCAGUGUGAUGAUGGGAAGCUCUCCUAGAUUCAAUAAGUAUGGCUGCCAAUU